CGCCUCGCCCGCUCCCUUUCCGCGCCACCAGAGCACCCCAGCAGCUUCGCCAAGAGCUCAGCGAUCUUUUGCGCCUCUUACUGCACGCUCUACCCUGCCAUAGCACCUAUUUCAUCCAUCCUUUUCAACUUCGGCCGAAAGCGCCGCCACGGAGCCUCCACCGUGGCCAGACCUUUCCAGAGCAUCACAUGCCCCCUCGUGUGUUGCUCUUGCUUCCUUGUGGCUUGGUGAUGCUCAUCAACCCAUUGUUUGUAACCAGCACCGACGAAGCCGCCAGAGAAUCAUCUCGCCGCCGGCACGACCACUACUGGUUCGCCCGUGCACGUGGCCAGCGAGCGACGGACUGUCUCUAGCCAUUCCAGGGCCAGCUACAGCUCGCGCUAGGGACCUCGUGCAACAAUUUGAUGUUUCCCAGGGGUCUAAUUGCAGAGACUGUGACUCAGACUACGCUCCGGAGGAAUCUAAUCCUCAGUGGGUUGCUU